CAAUCCGCAUUUCCCAUACAUGUCGAUCAACCCGCAUUGAACGAAAGCUUCACAUUCCAACCCAAGCUUGAUAGCAAUGGCGUGAACCUGUCGACCCGACAUCCCUUCGUCAUCCAUCCCGGCACAUGCCUUUAGAACACUUGAAAAGGUGAAGCUGUUUUUCUUAAUACCCUGUCUGCCCAUCUCAGUAAAAUCAUCAAACACCUUAUGGAAUUGAUUUUCCCUGCAACUAUUAACCAUUUUCGCUGUCCAUGUCACAGUGUUACGCCGUGAGGAUUGAUUAAAGACAACGUUGGCAUCAUCUAGGCACUUGAAGUUUCCAUAGAAGUUGAUUAAGGAGCCGGAUAAAGACAAAUCAUCGAUGACACCCAACUUGAGUAACUGUCCAUGAACCUGCUUCCCUAAC
rnacentral:lncRNA from 1 species